AGGAAAUUGUUCCACACUUUAGGAUGCUGAAAGCAUAUGACAUGUUUUAUUGUAUUCAGAACAAGGUUGCUAAUCAACACUUUGAGAAAACCAGGAAAAGAAAGCGUUAGCGGGGCAGCGCCAGUUCACUGGGGAUGGUCUUUCAAAUGAAAGUCUAUGCAAUAUCUAUCGAGGGGGCCAUGUCCAGUGAUGACAUUUAAUUGGAAACUUUUUUGGCAUAGACAAAUUUUACAGAUUGUAACAAAACAAUAACAAUCCGACUGCGUGUACAAUCAGUUUUAUUACUGAUUCUCUACAUGUUUCUCAGGUUCAUACAUAUUCCUUCUGUUGUAAUGAAUAUGAAACAGUGUACUGUUUUAGAGUGGCCAUAGCUAUAUAGGAAACUGAUAGUGGUCCAGACAUCAUUCAAAUGGUUUUAUCCCAAAUUGGAAAGCAUGUUAAGAAUUCA